AGCUCUGUAAGCGUAUACCAAAGUUGUUGCAGUUAAAACGCUCGUAGUCGGAAUUUGGCAAUUUCGGAUGUGUGCGCGUCGUGCGCGCACUUUGCAGAGAUUGCUUUUGUGGGUAUGUGUGCGAUGAGGCAACUUUAUUGUUGAACGUCAAACGCAACCACUCUUUACUGUGAGAAAAUUAGAGUGUUCAAAGCAGGCAAUUGCCGUGAAUACAUUAGCAUGGAAUAAUAGAAUAGGACUUCGUCUUAUUUUGUUGGUUUGUUAAUUCGGAGUGAUGAUUAAGAGGGACAGUUGGGGGCAUUUGUAUUUCGGCGCUAGAGGUGAAAUUCUUAGAUUGCCGAAAGACAAACUGCUGCGAAAGCGUCUGCCAAGGAUGUUUUCAU
rnacentral:rRNA from 1 species